AGCCGCAGUGGGUGGACCAUGGUCAGUGGUGGUUGUCCAGGUUAGCCACCAAGACUUCUGUUUGGUACAGAGUUGAAAGAGGGUCAGUCUGGCUGGAGUUACAACUCAAGAGGGUAAGGAAAGAAAAAAGGGGGAGAGGAGACAGGGUCCUAUGGGAAAUUCUCUCGGGGGCUUUUGUGGGAGGCUUUGCUUUCCAGGAAAAAGAGAUACACAAGAAGAAAAACUCCCUUCCUGCCUGCCUCAGGGAUGAUGCAGCGCUUGAAAUGUAACAGCUAUCUUGGGACCAGGAGGGGAGAGCUGCAAGACUCAGAGGGAAGCUGACCUAGGGUCUGACAUCACUGAGCUGCUGAAUUAAGCAACUCAGAUGUCACCUUCUUCCACACUUCUUGUGAUGACAGAUAAACCCCUAAGGUUCAAGCCGCAUCUAUGUCGGUAUUCUGAUACCCACUGCCCAAAGCACCUUAUGUGACACGGCAAGUAACUUAACCCUGCUGGGCCUCAAUUUUUCUUUGCAAAAUCAGGAUGCCGAUACCCACUUCACAGGAUCACAGUGAGUAUCAGAUUAGAUAAUGGAUGUAAAGUACUUAGCAUGGUGCCCUACUCAUGGUAAGCACUCAGUAAAUGUUAACUAUUACUACCUGCGUCAAAGACAUAAAGGAGAUGAGUUUGUUUUGUGGGAGGGUAGAGAGAAGAGGAGAAUGACGACUAAAAGCUGGGAAGCCAACACUUGAGAGGAAAGGAGUCAGAGAAUGACUAGAGACUAAAGAAGAAAACCUGAAAUUUCAUUCUACCCACCAUAUCCUUUUUUUUUUUUUUUUUGAGACAGAGUCUCACUCUGUUUUCCAGGCUGGGGUGCAGUGGUGUGACCUCGGUUCACUGCAACCUCCGCCUCCCGGGUUCAAGCAAUUCUCCUGCCUCAGCCUCCUGAAUAGCUGGGAUUACAGGCGCCUGCUACCAUGCCUGGCUAAUUUUUGUAUUUUUAGUAGAGGUGGGAUUUCACCAUGUUGGCCAGGUUGGUCUUGAACUCCUGACCUCAGAUGAUCCCCCAACUUAGCCUCCCAAAGUGCUGGGAUUACAGGCGUCAGCCACCAUGCAUGGCCACCACAUUCUUUUUCUUUUUCGUUUCCCUUUUUUUUUUUUUUUUUGAGAUGGAGUUUCACCCUGGUGUCCAGGCUGGAGUGCAGUGGCUCGAUCUCAGCUCACUGCAACCUCUACCUCCUGGGUUCAAGCGAUUCUCCUGCCUUAGUCUCCCAAGUAGCUAGGAUUACAGGUGCCCACCAACAGACUCGGCUAAUUUUUAUAUUUUUAGUAGAGACAAUGUUUCACCAUGUUGGCCAGGCUGGUCUUGAACUCCUGACUCAAGUGAUCCACCCACCUCGGCCUCCCAAAGUGCUGGGAUUACAAUUCUAUCAAUUUUUAUCUGCCCUGUAAGGCCUUUCUUGAUCUUUCCUUCCUUCCCAAGCCUGGCCUCUGUCCCAUCUCUUCACUUAACUGUGUUAAAUGUGGGGUUCAUGAUAUCAGCUUGACAAUCCCAGAUUCUUUCAUUCAGGAAUUCUCUGGACAUGUAUCAAAUAUAUCUCUUGGAGACACUCUCAUUUCCAGGAGUUCCCAGUUGAUAUGCAAAUUAGGCCUCUACAGUUACUUCCAGACACUUGGAAACUGACAGCUACUAAGCUACUAGCUGGUGGAUGGUGUAUACAGCAUGGAUACGCUGGACAAAGGGAUGAUUCACAUCCUGGGUGAAAUGGCUCCAGAUUUCAUCAUGCUGCUCAUAAAAGCAUGCAAUUUACAACUUAUGAAUUGUUUAUUUCUGGAAUUUUCCCAUGUAAUAUUUUUGAUCACAUUUGUCCUUGG